rnacentral:tRNA from 1 species
GCGGGAGUGGCGGAAUGGUAGACGCGCUGGCCUUAGGAACCAGUACUCCGUGUGUGUGGGUUCGAGUCCCAUCUUCCGCACCA